CUCUUCUAUUGACUUUCGCAAUCAACCCAACCUUCUUUGUGAGCCUUAAUGAAAAAUUUUUUCACUGAAGGUCACAUGGCUAUUGCGGUAUUCUUCAGAUGCCUUAAAUGCCUCCACUGCUCAAGCCAUCUCCUAAGUAAAGACAGGUAAUGCCUUCAAUUUCUCGACUGAAGAAUGCUUGGCAUCUUGAAUGUGCUCCUCGAUCUUUCUCUCAGCCUCUUUCUCCCUUUUCAGGAUGAGAGCGAGAUCGGCCUCCACCUACCCAAGGGCCCCCUGGAGAUUUUUGGCCUCAGUCUCUAGUUUUUUAAUUUUUGCCCGAGCUAUCUGAGCCUCCGUCUCAGCUUUCUUCUCAGCCUCUCACGCCUGUGCCUUUCUGACCGAGCGGUCCGACAAAUUAACGAGAACAUGGAGCAGCUGCAUUUCAAAUCAACUAAGUUAGAGAAAGUUUAAAAGGGAGGAGGGGUGACAGGAUAAGUGCUACACCUGGUGACCCAUAGUCAAAGACAGUUUCCUCAGACUGGAAAUACUCAUCUUGUCCAUCUACUCCAACUUUGCCAGAAUUAUGGAAUUCUCAACAGCUUCUCGAACAGCCUUCCAGUC
rnacentral:lncRNA from 1 species